AACGAACGCUGGCGGCAUGCUUAACACAUGCAAGUCGAACGAGACCUUCGGGUCUAGUGGCGCACGGGUGCGUAACGCGUGGGAACCUGCCCUUAGGUUCGGUAUAACUCCCCGAAAGGGGUGCUAAUACCGGAUAAUGUCUUCGGACCAAAGAUUUAUCGCCUUUGGAUGGGCCCGCGUUGGAUUAGCUAGUUGGUAGGGUAAAAGCCUACCAACGCGACGAUCCAUAGCUGGUCUGAGAGGAUGAUCAGCCACACUGGGACUGAGACACGGCCCAGACUGCGACGGGAGGGAGCAGUGGGGAAUAUUGGACAAGGGGCGAUAGCCUGAUCCAGCAAUGCCGCGUGAGUGAUGAAGGCCUUAGUGUUGUAAAGCUCUUUUACCCGGGAUGAUAAUGACAGUACCGGGAGAAUAAGCUCCGGCUAACUCCGUG
rnacentral:rRNA from 1 species